rnacentral:rRNA from 1 species
CCUUAGGUUGGGUAUAAACCCGGGAAACUGGGUAUAAUACCCGAUAGGUCUCGAUUGCUGGAAUGCAUCGAGAUUUAAAGCUCCGGCGCCUAAGGAUGGGUCUGCGGCCUAUCAGGUAGUAGUGGGUGUAGCGUACCUACUAGCCUACGACGGGUACGGGUUGUGAGAGCAAGAGCCCCGGAGAUGGAUUCUGAGACACGAAUCCAGGCCCUACGGGGUGCAGCAGGCGCGAAAACUUUACAAUGCUGGCAACAGCGAUAAGGGAACCUCGAGUGCCAGGUUACAAAUCUGGCUGUCGAGAUGCCUAAAAAGCAUUUCAUAGCAAGGGCCGGGCAAGACCGGUGCCAGCCGCCGCGGUAACACCGGCGGCUCGAGUGGUAACCGUUAUUAUUGGGUCUAAAGGGUCUGUAGCCGGCCGGAUAAGUCUCUUGAGAAAUCUGGCAGCUUAACUGUCAGGCUUUCAGGAGAUACUGUCUGGCUCGAGGCCGGGAGAGGUGAGAGGUACUUCAGGGGUAGGGGUGAAAUCUUGUAAUCCUUGAAGGACCACCAGUGGCGAAGGCGUCUCACCAGAACGGACCUGACGGCAAGGGACGAAAGCUAGGGGCACGAACCGGAUUAGAUACCCGGGUAGUCCUAGCCGUAAACGAUACUCGCUAGGUGUCGGCCACGGUGCGACCGUUGUCGGUGCCGUAGGGAAGCCGUGAAGCGAGCCACCUGGGAAGUACGGCCGCAAGGCUGAAACUUAAAGGAAUUGGCGGGGGAGCACCACAACGGGUGGAGCUUGCGGUUUAAUUGGAUUCAACGCCGGG